AUGGUGGCCGAGGCGGAGGUGAUGCAUCAGCAGCCGGCGCCGGUUCUGGAGGUGCAGUACCGCGCGUGUGUCGCCAAGGGGGUCGGGAUGUCGGCGGUCGCCGUGCCGGAGGUGGAGGUGGAGGUCGAGGUCGCCGUCGAGCUGCCUCGCAUGGGAUUGGCGAACACCGAUGGUGCGACGAGCGUGUCCGCUGAAACCCUACAGUUUGUACCCAAUAUUCGGUCUGGAAGCUUUGCUGAUAUCGGACCUAGGAGGUACAUGGAAGAUGAACACAUCCGGAUAGAUGAUCUUUCAGCCCAUCUUGGCUCGCUGUUGGUUUGCCCACUACCUAGUGCCUUCUAUGGGGUGUUUGAUGGCCAUGGGGGUCCUGAUGCUGCAGCCUACAUGAAAAGACAUGCCAUGAGGUUCUUGUUUGAGGAUAGAGAGUUCCCACAAGCAUUGCAAGUGGAUGAUAUAUUCCUUCAAUCCGUUGAGGAAUGUAUUCGCAGCGCGUUCCUGCAAGCCGACCUUGCGCUGGCUGAUAAUCUAGACAUCAGCCGCUCCUCCGGAACUACAGCACUCGCAGCAUUAAUCUUUGGGAGGCAACUGUUGGUUGCGAACACCGGUGACUGCCGAGCGGUCCUUUGCCGGAGAGGCAUAGCGAUGGAGAUGUCCCGAGACCACAGGGCAAACUACGCCGAGGAGUGCGAGAGGGUGGCCGCCUCCGGCGGGUACAUCGAGGACGGGUACCUCAACGGGGUGCUCUCGGUGACGCGUGCCCUGGGCGACUGGGACAUGAAGAUGCCUGACUGCUCCACGUCGCCCCUCAUCGCGGAGCCCGAGUUCCAGCAGGCGACGCUGAGCGAGGACGACGAGUUCCUCAUCAUGGGGUGCGACGGGAUCUGGGACGUGAUGACGAGCCAGCACGCGGUGAGCGUGGUCCGGCACGGCCUGCGGCAGCACGACGACCCCGAGCGGUGCGCGCGGGAGCUCGUCAUGGAGGCGAAGCGGCUCGAGACGGCCGACAACCUCACCGUCAUUGUGGUGUGCUUUGGGUCGGAGCUCGGGUCCCCGCCGCCGCCCCCCGCUGUGGCGGCGGCGAGGCCGAGGAGCUGCAAGGGCCUGUCGGCGGAGGCCCUGUGCAACCUGAGGAGCUGGCUGGAGGCUGACCGCUAG
rnacentral:rRNA from 1 species